UACGUAGGGAGCGAGCGUUGUCCGAAGUUACUGGGCGUAAAGCGCGCGUAGGCGGGCUGUUAAGUGAGAGGUGAAAGGCUGGGGCUUAACCCCAUGCAGUGCCUCUCAUACUGGCGGUCUUGAGUGCGGCAGGGAGAAGUGGAAUGGCUGGUGUAGCGGUGAAAUGCGCAGAUAUCAGGAGGAACACCGGUGGCGAAGGCGGGUCUCUGGGCAACAACUGACGCUGAGGAGCGAAAGCGUGGGUAGCAAACAGG
rnacentral:rRNA from 1 species